GAGCGGCAGACGGGUGAGUAAUACGUUGGAACCUGCCCCAAAGUCAGGGAUAACCAGUAGAAAUAUUGGCUAAUACCGGAUAGUCACGAAAGUGUAAAGCUUUUGCGCUUUGGGAGGGGCCUGCGGUCUAUCAGCUUGUUGGUAAGGUAAUGGCUUACCAAGGCUAUGACGGAUAGCUGGUUUGAGAGAAUGAUCAGCCACAAUGGAACUGAGACACGGUCCAUACUCCUACGGGAGGCAGCAGUGAGGAAUCCUCCGCAAUGGGCGAAAGCCUGACGGAGCAACACCGCGUGAAGGAUGAAGGUCGUAAGAUUGUAAACUUCUUUUCUGAGGGAAGAAUUCUGACGGUACCUCAGGAAUAAGCAUCGGCUAACUACGUGCCAGCAGCCGCGGUAAGACGUAGGAUGCAAGCGUUAUCCGGAAUUAUUGGGCAUAAAGAGUUCGUAGGCGGUUUGUUAAGUUGGAUGUUAAAUUUUUGAGCUCAACUUAAAAAAAGUAUCCAAAACUGGCAAACUGGAGACUGGUAGAGGUAAGUGGAAUUCUGCAUGUAGGGGUAAUAUCCGUAGAUAUGCAGAGGAACACCAAAAGCGAAGGCAGCUUACUGGACCAGUUCUGACGCUCAAGAACGAAAGCGUGGGUAGCGAACGGGAUUAGAUACCCCGGUAGUCCACGCCCUAAACGAUGAACACUAGGUAUUGGAGGUCUCGACCCCUUCAGUGCCGGCGCAAAUGCAAUAAGUGUUCCGCCUGGGUAGUACGAGCGCAAGCUUAAAACUCAAAGGAAUAGACGGGGACCCACACAAGCGGUGGAGCAUCUGGUUUAAUUCGACAAUAAGCGAGGAACCUUACCAAGGCUUGACAUCCCGAGAAGGUCGCCGAAAGGUGAUUGUGCCGUUAGGAACUCGGUGACAGGUGCUGCAUGGUUGUCGUCAGCUCGUGCCUUGAGGUGUUCGGUUAAGUCCGUGAACGAGCGCAACCCUUGUCUCAAGUUGCAUAUUUCUUGAGAGACUGCCGGUUUCAAAUCGGAGGAAGGUAAGGAUGACGUCAAAUCAGCAUGGCCCUUAUGUCUUGGGCGACACAGGUGCUACAAUGGCCGGUACAAUGGGCAGCGAAGGAGCAAUCUGGAGCAAAUCCUCAAAACCGGUCCAAGUUCGAAU
rnacentral:rRNA from 1 species